UACAGAGGUCCCGAGCGUUUGUUCGGAUUUAUUGGGCGUAAAGGGUGCGUAGGCGGCGGAGUAAGUUGGGUGUGAAAUCCCGGGGCUCAACCUCGGAAUGGCAUUCAAUACUGCUUCGCUAGAGUACUGGAGAGGAGGCUGGAAUUUACGGUGUAGCAGUGAAAUGCGUAGAUAUCGUAAGGAAGGCCGGUGGCGAAAGCGAGCCUCUGGACAGUUACUGACGCUGAUGCACGGAGGCCAGGGGGAGCAAAACGGG
rnacentral:rRNA from 1 species